rnacentral:tRNA from 1 species
GCGUUUGUAGUGUAAUGGUAGCACAAUCGGCGCGAAUUCGAGAGGUCCAGGUUCGAGUCUUGGCGAGGGCA